rnacentral:rRNA from 1 species
AUUGAACGCUGGCGGCAGGCCUAACACAUGCAAGUCGAGCGGAGCGGCGGACGGGUGAGUAAUGCCAAGGAAUCUGCCUGGUAGUGGGGGAUAACGUCCGGAAACGGGCGCUAAUACCGCAUACUAUCAGAUGAGCCUAGGUCGGAUUAGCUAGGUGGUGGGGUAAAGGCCUACCAAGGCGACGAUCCGUAACUGGGCUGAGAGGAGGAUCAGUCACACUGGAACGGAGACACGGUCCGGACUCCUACGGGAGGCGGCAUUGGGGAAUAUUGGACAAUGGGCGAAAGCCUGAGCCAGCCAUGCCGCUUGUGUGAGGAGGGUCUUCGGAUGGUAAAGCACUUUAAGUUGGGAGGCGUUACCAACAUAGUAAGCACCGGCUAACUUCGUGCCAGCAGCCGCGGUAAUAC